UCCCGGACCGUCGGUUCACCGCCCGACGGUGUCAAACUGACGCGAUCCGGGACGUCCUGCCGGUGGCGUGUCAGCUGCUUCGUUCCUUUCGGGGUUCGUCGCGGGCGGCGCCGAUUCAAUCCCGUCGCGGUGCUCUUCAUUGAGUGUCGAGGUGGGCCGGCACGUUUACUUUGAACAAAUUAGAGUGCUUCAAGCAGGCUGGAUAUCGCCUGAAUGCUAGUGCAUGGAAUAAUGGAAUAGGACUUCGGUUCUAUUUUGUUGGUUUUCGGAACCAGAGGUAAUGAUUAAUGGAGACAGGCGGGGGCAUUCGUAUUGCGACGUUAGAGGUGAAAUUCUUGGAUCGUCGCAAGACGGACCGAAGCGAAAGCAUUUGCCAAGGAUGUUCUCGUUGAUCAAGAACGAAAGUUAGAGGUUCGAAGGCGAUCAGAUACCGCCCUAGUUCUAACCAUAAACGAUGCCAGCUAGCGAUCCGUCAAAGUUCCUUUGAUGACUUGACGGGCAGCUUCCGGGAAACCAAAGCUUUUGGGUUCCGGGGGAAGUAUGGUUGCAAAGCUGAAACUUAAAGGAAUUGACGGAAGGGCACCACCAGGAGUGGAGCCUGCGGCUUAAUUUGACUCAACACGGGAAACCUCACCAGGCCCGGACACUGGAAGGAUUGACAGAUUGAGAGCUCUUUCUUGAUUCAGUGGGUGGUGGUGCAUGGCCGUUCUUAGUUGGUGGAGCGAUUUGUCUGGUUAAUUCCGAUAACGAAC
rnacentral:rRNA from 1 species